UACGUAGGGUCCGAGCGUUGUCCGGAAUUAUUGGGCGUAAAGAGCGUGUAGGCGGCCAGACAGGUCUGCUGUGAAAACUCGAGGCUCAACCUCGAGAUGUCGGCGGAAACCUUCUGGCUAGAGUCCGGAAGAGGAGAGUGGAAUUCCUGGUGUAGCGGUGAAAUGCGCAGAUAUCAGGAAGAACACCUAUGGCGAAGGCAGCUCUCUGGGACGGUACUGACGCUGAGACGCGAAAGCGUGGGGAGCGAACAGG
rnacentral:rRNA from 1 species